rnacentral:rRNA from 1 species
GAUGAACGCUGGCGGCGUGCCUAAUACAUGCAAGUCGAGCGAACGGACGAGAAGCUUGCUUUUCUGAUGUUAGCGGCGGACGGGUGAGUAACACGUGGAUAACCUACCUAUAAGACUGGGAUAACUUCGGGAAACCGGAGCUAAUACCGGAUAAUAUUUUGAACCGCAUGGUUCAAAAGUGAAAGACGGUCUUGCUGUCACUUAUAGAUGGAUCCGCGCUGCAUUAGCUAGUUGGUAAGGUAACGGCUUACCAAGGCAACGAUGCAUAGCCGACCGGAUGGGUGGUCGGCCCCCCGUGAAGGUGAACGCCGUCCCUGGGUCUGAGGGACGGCCCAGUCGGGUACCGUCCGCAGCAGGGGGAAAUCUUGCAGAACGACCGCACGUGGGAUGUAGAAGGCCUGCGGGCGGAAAAACGUGUUUCUGGGGGAAAACCGAUUUUGAAUGUAACGAGGCCAGCGUGACGGUAACUGAUCAGAAAGCCACGGCUAACUACGUG